UCUGAAGCCCAUUUCUGGUGUCCCCCGCCGUGAUAUUGCUGGCUAAUUGCUAAAAGCAGCGUAAAACCACAUUCACUCACUCAUAUGGCACGUCCUGAUUCUCAAAACAGAUUCCCUUAACAGAUUCCCUUAACAUAUUCCAUUAACUGAUUCCUUUAACUGAUUCCUUUAACUGAUUCUCUGAACUGGUUCCCUGCAGAGCUGCCCACACGUUUGUGAUGUGUCUCAACAGACUGACAGCGUGUAUUAACAACCCUGCCUUCACGCAAGCCAGACAGAUGAUGGAAUCAAGGGACCUGGACCAUUCGUGUCCAAUAGCAGUCCCAUACCCGUACGCCAACUCUGUUGGUACUCCAGCCAUCAUGACGGUCUACCUACUGGUCACUCUGUUGAUGCUCUGUAUCUUUACCUAAAUAAAACAUUAUGUCCAGAAUACAGAGAGGAUAUUUGAAGAUAAAAUAUAUUUUGCAAUAA